rnacentral:rRNA from 15 species
AUAGGGUGUGUGGAGGGAACGUGGGGAAGUGAAACAUCUCAGUACCUGCAGGAAGAGAAAACAAGUGUGAUUCCGUUAGUAGCGGCGAGCGAACGCGGAUGAGGCUAAACCGCAUGCGUGUGAGACCCGGCAGGGGUUGCGUGUGUGGUGUUGUGGGGCAUGAUGUCCUGGUUCUGCCGGAUCAGGCGCUGAUGUCCGCGGGUUAGGGGAACGACUUGGAAGGGUCGGCCGUAGAGGGUGAGAGUCCCGUACCUGAAAACCUUGUGGC